GAUGAAGAACGUAGUGAAAUGCGAUAAGUAAUGUGAAUUGCAGAAUUCAGUGAAUCAUCGAAUCUUUGAACGCACAUUGCGCCCCCUGGUAUUCCGGGGGGCAUGCCUGUCCGAGCGUCAUUACAACCCUCAAGCUCAGCUUGGUGUUGGGCCCCGCCGCCCCGGCGGGCCCUAAAGUCAGUGGCGGUGCCGUCCGGCUCCGAGCGUAGUAAUUCUUCUCGCUCUGGAGGUCCGGUCGUGUGCUCGCCAGCAACCCCCAAUUUUUUUCAGGUUGACCUCGGAUCAAGUAGGAUUACCCGCUGAACUUAAGCAUAUCAAUAAGCGGAGGA
rnacentral:misc_RNA from 1 species